GGGGGGUCAGCCCCCUGCCUGGCCAGCCGCCCCCUCCGGGAGGUGAGGGGCGCCUCUGCCCGGCCGCCCUACUGGGAAGUGAGGAGCCCCUCUGCCUGGCCGGCCGCCCCGACCGGGAGGGAGGUGGGGGGGGUCAGCCCCCCACCCGGCCAGCCGCCCCGUCCGGGAGGGAGGUGGGGGGGUCAGCCCCCCGCCCGGCCAGCCGCCCCAUCCGGGAGGUGAGGGGCGCCUCUGCCCGGCCGCCCCUACUGGGAAGUGAGGAGCCCCUCUGCCCGGCCACCACCCCGUCUGGGAGGUGUACCCAACAGCUCAUUGAGAACGGGCCAUGAUGACAAUGGCAGUUUUGUGGAACAGAAAGGGGGCAAAGGUGGGGAAAAGAUUGAGAAAUCGGAUGGUUGCUGUGUCUGUGUAGAAAGAGGUAGACAUGGGAGACUUUUCAUUUUGUUCUGUACUAAGAAAAAUUCUUCUGCCUUGGGAUCCUGUUGAUCUGUGACCUUACCCCCAACCCUGUGCUCUCUGAAACAUGUGCUGUGUCCACUCAGGGUUAAAUGGAUUAAGGGCGGUGCAAGAUGUGCUUUGUUAAACAGAUGCUUGAAGGCAGCAUGCUCGUUAAGAGUCAUCACCACUCCCUAAUCUCAAGUACCCAGGGACACAAACACUGCGGAAGGCCGCAGGGUCCUCUGCCUAGGAAAACCAGAGACCUUUGUUCACUUGUUUAUCUGCUGACCUUCCCUCCACUAUUGUCCUGUGACCCUGCCAAAUCCCCCUCUGCGAGAAACACCCAAGAAUGAUCAAUAAAAAAAAAAAAAAAAUAAAUAAAUAAAUAAAAAGAAAGUCAGGCUUAAAAAUAAAAACAAGCAGGCUGGGCGCAGUGGCUCACACCUGUAAUCCCCGCACUUUGGGAGGCUGAGGCAGAUGGAUCAUUUAAGGUCAGGAGUUGGAGAACAACCUGGGCAACACGGCGAAACCCUGUCUCUACUAAAAACACAAAAAUUAGUUGGGUAUGGUGGUGCACACCUGUAAUCCCAGCUACUCGGGAGGCUGAGGUGGGAGAAUCGCUUGAGCCCAGUGGGGUGGGGAUGGAGGCGGAGUUUGUAGUGAGCCAAGAUUGCACCACUGCACUCCAGCCUGGGUGACAGGUGACAGAGUGAGACUCUGUCUUAAAAAAUAAAAUAAAUAAAUAAAAACAAGCAGGAAAACUACUGAGCAGAUCAGCGCCCGGAAUAAAGGUUACUAAUAUUACAAUAAUAUUUUCAUUAGAACGUUCUAAUUAUAAAAAUAAAACUUGUUUUCUUAAAAAAGAAAAGCAGCAGAAAUAGCAGCAGCUGCACACUGUGAGGAGAAGGCAGACUCCAAAGAAUCAGUCCAAGCCAGCCACUAAAUGAACAAACAAGACGGCAACAACAAUGCUGGGAAAGGGAACUGGAAUCCACAGUUGUUACAAUAUAUUUUAUUUAUUUACUUAUUUAUUUUUAUGUUAUUUUAAUUUUUUUUGAGAUGGAGUCUCACUCUGUUGCCCAGGCUGGAGUGCAAUGGUGCGAUCUCGGCUCACUGCAACCUCCACCUCCCGGGUUCAAGGGAUUCUCCGGCCUCCACCUCCCGAGUAGCUGGGAUUACAGGCAUGCACCACCAUGCCUGGCUAAUUUUUGUAGUUUUGUAGAGAUGGGGUUUCACCAUGUUGGCUAGGCUGGUCUUGAACUUCUGACCUCAGGUGAUCUGCCUGCCUCAGCCUCCCAAAGUGCUGGCAUUACAGGCAUGAACCACUGUGCCCGGCCUUAUUUUAUUUAUUUAUUUACUGAGACAUGGUCUUGCUCUAUCACCAAGGCUGGAGUGCAGUGGCACAAUCUUGGCUCACUGCAACUUCUCGGCCUCUGAGUAGCUGGGACUACAGGCACACCAGCUAAUUUUUGUAUUUUUUGUAGAGACAGGGUCUCACUGUGUUGCCCAGGCUGGUCUCAAACUCCUGGCCUCAAAGGAUCCUACCACCUCGACCUCCCAAAGUGCUGAAAUUACAGGUGUGAGCCACCGUGUUUGGCCAUAUUAUCUAAAAUGUCCAUUUGUCAACAAAAAAUUGCAAGACAUGCAAAGAAAAAGGAAAGUGUGACCCACACUCUGGAAAAAAAGAGAGUCAACAGAAACUCACUGAGGGGUCCCAGAUGUUAGACUUUGUCUCUCUCCUUCCCUCUCUUUCUCCCUGUUCCAAUUUCCAGGGACGAGGCUCUGACUGGCCAGGUUCCACCCCUGAUCCUAUCAUCUGUGGAGGAGGUGGAGUGGGCAGAGAAAAAUUGUAAUAACAUAGUACGUGGAAGCUACUUGACCCCACAUGGGUGAAGAUCAUUUCCUAGAGAAAAGAGGGGUCACUGGUUCCAGUUUAGGUAGACAUCCCCAGAGGUGUCUGUUGCUCUUGUUUCUUUUCUGAAAGGUAAGUGGUGACACCUCCAGGAGCCCAGUGGCAUUUGGAUUUGUUAUCUCCCACUGGGAGGACGGCAUCCUUCAUUUGCUGGCCAUUUCUUAGGUUGGUGAUUUGCAAACAUCCCUUCUCCCCAUGGAGGGACUGUGUAGAGUUGGAAGAGGGGAGGGAUGGGAAGAGGCUACACUAACCCUAGGCUCCUUUUCAGCAACCAAGUCUCAGAAGUGGUGCCAUCAUUCACUUUUGAUUUAAUGUAAAUUGCAUUAAAACAACAAAGAAAUAGUUGUUGGAUCUCUUUCCUCUGACUCCAUUUCUGCCAAUGAUCAAGAUUGGGCUGUGUGA
rnacentral:lncRNA from 1 species